rnacentral:rRNA from 1 species
UACGAAGGGUGCAAGCGUUACUCGGAAUUUACUGGGCGUAAAGCGUGCGUAGGUGGUUUGUUUAAGUCUGAUGUGAAAGCCCUGGGCUCAACCUGGGAAUUGCAUUGGAUACUGGCAGGCUAGAGUGCGGUAGAGGAUGGCGGAAUUCCCGGUGUAGCAGUGAAAUGCGUAGAGAUCGGGAGGAACAUCUGUGGCGAAGGCGGCCAUCUGGACCAGCACUGACACUGAGGCACGAAAGCGUGGGAGCAAACAGG